rnacentral:rRNA from 1 species
UAAUACAGAGGUCCCGAGCGUUGUUCGGAUUCACUGGGCGUAAAGGGUGCGUAGGUGGUGGGGUAAGUCUCGUGUGAAAGCUCGCAGCUUAACUGCGAAAAGUCACGGGAUACUAUUCCGCUGGAGGCUUGGAGGGGGGACUGGAAUACUUGGUGUAGCAGUGAAAUGCGUAGAUAUCAAGUGGAACACCAGUGGCGAAGGCGAGUCCCUGGACAAGACCUGACACUGAGGCACGAAAGCCAGGGGAGCAAACAGGAUUAGAUACCCUGGUAGUCCUGGCUGUAAACGGUGCACGUUUGCUGUAAAAGGAAUCGACCCCUUUUGUGGCGAAGCUAACGCGAUAAACGUGCCGCCUGGGAAGUACGGUCGCAAGAUUA